GACGAACGCUGGCGGCGUGCCUAAUACAUGCAAGUUGAGCGCUGAAGGUUGGUGCUUGUACCUACUGGAUGAGCAGCGAACGGGUGAGUAACGCGUGGGGAAUCUGCCUUUGAGCGGGGGACAACAUUUGGAAACGAAUGCUAAUACCGCAUAAAAACUUUAAACACAAGUUUUAAGUUUGAAAGAUGCAAUUGCAUCACCCAAAGAUGAUCCCGCGUUGUAUUAGCUAGUUGGUGAGGUAAAGGCUUACCAAGGCGAUGAUACAUAGCCGACCUGAGAGGGUGGUCGGCCACAUUGGGACUGGGACACGGCCCAAACUCCUACGGGAGGCAGCAGUAGGGAAUCUUCGGCAAUGGACGGAAGGCUGAACGAGCAACGCCGCGGGAGGGAAGAAGGUUUUCGGAUCGGAAAACUCUGUUGGUAGAGAAGAACGUUGGUGAGAGUGGAAAGCUCAUCAAGUGACGGUAACUACCCAGAAAGGGACGGCUAACUACGUG
rnacentral:rRNA from 1 species